UACGUAGGGGGCAAGCGUUGUCCGGAAUCAUUGGGCGUAAAGCGCGUGUAGGCGGCCCGGUAAGUCCGCUGUGAAAGUCCAGGGCUCAACCCUGGGAUGCCGGUGGAUACUGUCGGGCUCGAGUCCGGAAGAGGAGUGUGGAAUUCCUGGUGUAGCGGUGAAAUGCGCAGAUAUCAGGAGGAACACCCAUAGCGAAGGCAGCUCGCUGGGACGGUACUGACGCUGAGGCGCGAAAGCGUGGGGAGCGAACAGG
rnacentral:rRNA from 1 species